rnacentral:tRNA from 1 species
GCGCUCAUAGUUUAAUGGAUAGAACAAGGGCCUUCUAAGCCCUCGAUGGAGGUUCGAUUCCUCCUGGGCGCA